rnacentral:rRNA from 1 species
AGAGUUGAUCCUGGCUCAGGACGAACGCUGGCUGCGUGCUUAACACAUGCAAGUCGAACGCUGAAGCCCUCAGCUUGCUGGGGGUGGAUGAGUGGCGAACGGGUGAGUAACACGUGAGUAACCUGCCCCUGAUUUCGGGAUAAGCCUGGGAAACUGGGUCUAAUACCGGAUACGACCACCUGACGCAUGUUGGGUGGUGGAAAGUUUUUCGAUCGGGGAUGGGCUCGCGGCCUAUCAGCUUGUUGGUGGGGUAAUGGCCUACCAAGGCGACGACGGGUAGCCGGCCUGAGAGGGCGACCGGCCACACUGGGACUGAGACACGGCCCAGACUCCUACGGGAGGCAGCAGUGGGGAAUAUUGCACAAUGGGGGAAACCCUGAUGCAGCGACGCAGCGUGCGGGAUGACGGCCUUCGGGUUGUAAACCGCUUUCAGCAGGGAAGAAGCGAAAGUGACGGUACCUGCAGAAGAAGUACCGGCUAACUACGUGCCAGCAGCCGCGGUAAUACGUAGGGUACGAGCGUUGUCCGGAAUUAUUGGGCGUAAAGAGCUCGUAGGUGGUUGGUCACGUCUGCUGUGGAAACGCAACGCUUAACGUUGCGCGGGCAGUGGGUACGGGCUGACUAGAGUGCAGUAGGGGAGUCUGGAAUUCCUGGUGUAGCGGUGAAAUGCGC